rnacentral:lncRNA from 1 species
UUCAAAUGUACCCACUGUUCCCAGACUGCAGAGAUCCUCAUGUGGAGGCCCAAUUUUAAUGUUUAUUCAUGGGAUUCCCUUUCUGGGAAUACUUCUGACUGUGAGUCUUGAAGUUUAACCCUCAGUGUAGGUAAGACCUAUCGCUUCUUGAGUUAACAAAGCAGCAGAGUACCUUCUUCAGGAGUGGGUUUUAGAGUUAAAGUGGACCUGAGUUGGAAUUCUGGGUUUGCUACUGACUGUGUGACCUUAAGAAGUUACUUAACCUUGCUAAUAACUUAGUUCCUUUCUCUGUGAAAUGAUACAAACUUCUGCUACAGGGCAGGGCAAAUGAAAUAAGGCAUGUUAUAUGGAGCUUGUCACACAUUGGAAGUACUUAGUAAAUAAUAGCUUUUGUUAUUGAUGAGAGUAAUAGCAAGAAGAGACUCAGGCAGUAAUUGUUGUUGAUCACAGACUAUUAACUGUACAAACCAGAGAAUUAGGUCAGGGUCCUUUCAACAUCAGAGAAUUGUUUGGAGUAAGCUACCCAUGUCACCCAGCAAAUGAAGGCAGUCCGUUGUAACUUCUGCCAGAAUUGUUGCUCUGGCAAAGGGCUCUUGUGCUUGUGUCACUUCUCUGCCUUGACAAAUGGCUUUCAUUACCCCAGUGAGAAAUGGUGACCUGGAAUUGAGGUUAGUAUGAAUGUUACUUAGUAUUUGAGCUAUCUGAU